GUCAGGACAAAACAGAAUAACCGUGUGGCACAGCACAGCCCCCCGCCUCUCCUGGCAUCACCCAGGUGAACUUGACCUCCAGAGCAGGAAUUUGCUGUAGGCAGCUGAAGAACUGCCAUACUGCGCUUCCCAGGGAAAUCGGGAAUUUCUCUUUGCCAGCUCCCAGAAGUGAGGAGCAGCGAGGUCCUGAGAGGCCAUCAGUGUCCAGGUGAGCACUGAGCCCCCCAGCAUCACCCCCUUUUGGUUUGCACAGCCCCUGCAGCCCCUGAUGGCUCUCAGGGCCCCAACAGCCCCAUGGGAGGGAGGCAGGAAGCUCCUAUCCUGCUCACUUCAAGCUCCAACAUAAAAUAGUUGUGGGUGAUACAAAAUUUGUGUGGGUGAUAUAAAACUGUUUUUUGCUGUGUGUCAUUAAACUGUUCUUCUGUGUUUGGCUGUUACAGAGAGCUGGAAACAAGCAUUCCCAGUGUGAGGGCUGUCAGAUAACUCUCCCUGGAAGGUGCCUUAACCUCUGGAAAAAUUCUAAAGAAUCACAAUUUCUUCCACUACAUAAGAGGUACCCUUGUUACUGGUGUUUAUGGUCACCACUGGGGAAGGGUGUUGGGGGGCUGUGGGUGGGUUAUGUUUUGUUGUUGAGUGGAGUCACCUGUUGGUUAUUCCCUGGAGGCCAGGCCUGCCCAGGCUGCCUGAGGGGGAACAGGUGAGCACAUGGUCAUUAAAUAAGACAAUAAUGACCAAAACCAGGCACAGUUUCUGUGAGGGACAUGCCCUGCCCGGCUCCUGAGGGCUCGACCUGUCCCCAAGCAUUUCCUCGGGGAAGAGUGUUUCAUCAGCUCCCUAAGGAAACAGUAUUUUUAGAACCAUAUUGCAAUUCUCUCCCAAAGUGUAAAUACAAGUUUUUUAUUACAGGUAGGAGGGAGGAACAGCCUUGGAACCAGGCAUGGAGAGCACAGGAAUGUUCUGAACCCUCUCUGAAGGCUGGCACCAUUGGCACCCCCUCUGAAACUCCUGAGGGAUGGUUGUGUUUUGAACCAUAGACCUGCUUCCAGUGACUCCAUCCUGAGCUGUGCCUGGCCAGGCCACAACUCUUCAAUCCUCCCUUCACCUUCCUAGCCAGGUAAAUCCCAAACGUGCACAGAAUGCCCCAAAGUGCAGCCAGGGCCUUGGGUGAAGCUGCUCAUGGCUGAGCUGGCCUUCGGGUACAGGUGAGCAGGGACAGGUGGGGACAUGGCCACAGGUCAGUGUGGCAGCAGGAUGAGCCCUCAGCUGCUGUCUGAGGACAAAGACUCACCCUGGCUCUGGGCUGCACUUCCAAGGUGAGGUGUAACCCGUGCUUCUGCUUGAGCAGCUCUGGGUGUUUGAGUGACUGAGAGCAGGAGUGGAACAGCAGCAGCACAGCCCGAAGUGUGAGCCCCCUCAGCCUGCCUGCAGCCCUGCGUUUGCAUCUCAAAGACAGCCCUCACUUACCAGAUUGGUUCUUUGAGAAAAGUGACUGAGGGGAAAUAGCACAUUUUAAAAAGGUGGAAAGUGUGACUUAGCCUGUAAAGGCAUUUUCUGUGAAAAAUGGAGAGCUGUCAACUUUGGAUUAAAACAAAACCUGUGGUGCUAUUGGCUGGGGAGAAAAGUGUGGGGGAGGGAAGGCUUCUCGAGGGAGGUGUUGUGCUUGACAUUCCUGCAGUGAGGCAGAAUGGCAGAUGGUCAAAAUAAUAGUUUUCUCCAAAUGGACAAGCUGAAGCAGCUUAGAAGUAAAAAAUAAUUGCCAGGCGCGUAUCGCGGGAUGUAUUGCCGCGUGUGGAUCAUGGGAGGCAUUAUCUGGCACACACAGAGUUUUUAGUGUUCACAGAUCGCAGGAGGCAUUACUGGGGCCAUUACUGUACACACACUGUGGGCAUUAAUGUACGGGAGGGCAUUAUUGUGUUGUUUGUAGGAGGCAGAACUGCACCCUGGAGGCAGAACCACGUGCGGAGCGCAGGAGGCGCGCGCAGAGCAGAGGAGGCAGAACUGCACGCGGAUAUGGGAGCUGCAAGGCAAACAGAGCAUGGGAGGCAGAGCAGAGGAGGCGUGAGCUGAGCAUGGAGCACAGGAGAAUAGAAGAAUGCCCCCUGUAUUCCAGAGUGGCAGACAGGUGAUCCCUGCAGGUGCAGGACAGGUGGAUCUAUGCCUGGAGCAGGCCUGGCUGGAGAACAGCAGAGCUGCCAGGACUCAUCCAUCCAGCCUCUCUGCCGACUGCUGAGGGGAAUCUGAUGGAAAACACAUCCCCAUGGCCACAGCUGACACUGCCCCUGCUCAUCACUGACUAAACAUGCAGGAGAAUCAGCAGGUAAUGUGAGGAGACUCUCUGAAGUGGAGAUUCUGACACCAGAAGUCAUGGCCAGCCUCCAGUUCAUGAACGGGAAAUUAAUUCUGAGGUUCAGAAGUCUGAAAAUUGGGUCCUGAUUGGGGGAGGCUUUGUACUUAAAAGCAAUUAAAAUAAUUAAAUUGUACCCGGGUACUCUUGAUUUAACAGUGUUCUGAAAUCCUCAGCUACUGGGAAACAGUUUAAGUGUGUUUGGCAUACACAGCUUAUCCUUCAGAAAGUGGGGCUGCAGGCGGGUCUGCCCUGUCAAACCACAUGUGACACAACACCAUGUGCUAAGAACAACAUGAAAAUGAAACACAACUAUGCAAAACAGAGCAAAAG